rnacentral:rRNA from 1 species
AGUAGCAAUACUUAGUGGCAGACGGGUGAGUAACAUGUGGGUAUCUUCCCUUUGGUGAGGAAUAACACGAGGAAACUUGUGCUAAUACCUCAUAAGUCUUUACGGAGAAAGCUUUAUGCGCCAAUGGAUGAGCCCGCACUUGAUUAGUUUGUUGGUGGGGUAAUGGCCUACCAAGACUUUGAUCAAUAGCUGAUCUGAGAGGAUGAUCAGCCACAUUGGGACUGAGACACGGCCCAAACUCCUACGGGAGGCAGCAUUAGGGAAUAUUGCACAAUGGAGGAAACUCUGAUGCAGCGAUGCCGCGUGAGUGAAGAAGGCCUUUGGGUUGUAAAGCUCUUUCGUCGGGGAAGAAAAUGACGGUACCCGAAUAAUAAGGUCCGGC